rnacentral:rRNA from 1 species
UACGAAGGGGGCUAGCGUUGCUCGGAAUCACUGGGCGUAAAGGGUGCGUAGGCGGGUCUUUAAGUCAGGGGUGAAAUCCUGGAGCUCAACUCCAGAACUGCCUUUGAUACUGAAGAUCUUGAGUUCGGGAGAGGUGAGUGGAACUGCGAGUGUAGAGGUGAAAUUCGUAGAUAUUCGCAAGAACACCAGUGGCGAAGGCGGCUCACUGGCCCGAUACUGACGCUGAGGCACGAAAGCCAAGGGAGCAAACAGG